rnacentral:rRNA from 1 species
CUACGGGUCGCUCCAGUGGGGAAUAUUGGACAAUGGGGGAAACCCUGAUCCAGCAAUGCCGCGUGUGUGAAGAAGGCCUGCGGGUUGUAAAGCACUUUCGGUUGGGAGGACUGCUUCUAGCACUAAUAUUGUUGGAAGUUGACGUUACCUUCAGAAGAAGCACCGGCUAACUCCGUGCCAGCAGCCGCGGUAAUACGGAGGGUGCAAGCCUUAAUCGGAAUUACUGGGCGUAAAGCGCGCGUAGGCGGCUAGAUCAGUCGGGUGUGAAAGCCCCGGCUUAACCUGGGAACUGCAUCCGAUACUGUCUAGCUUGAGUACAGGAGAGGAGAGUGGAAUUCCACAUGUAGCGGUGAAAUGCGUAGAUAUGUGGAGGAACACCAAUGGCGAAGGCAGCUCUCUGGCCUGAUACUGACGCUGAGGUGCGAAAGCGUGGGGAGCAAACAGGAUUAGAUACCCGGGUAGUC